rnacentral:rRNA from 1 species
CCUACGGGUGGCUGCAGUGGGGAAUAUUGGGCAAUGGGCGCAAGCCUGACCCAGCAACGCCGCGUGAAGGAAGAAGGCUUUCGGGUUGUAAACUUCUUUUGACAGGGAAGAGUAGAAGACGGUACCUGUCGAAUAAGCCACGGCUAACUACGUUCCAGCAGCCGCGGUAAUACGGAGGUGGCAGGCGUUGUCCGGAUUUACUGGGUGUUAAGGGCGUGUAGCCGGGUUGACAAGUCAGAUGUGAAAGCCUUCGGCUUAACCGCAGAACUGCAUUUGAAACUGUUGAUCUUGAGUGCUGGAGGGGCAGACGGAAUUCCUGGUGUAGCGGUGAAAUGCGUAGAUAUUAGGAGGAACACCAGUGGCGAAGGCGGCCUGCUGGACAGCAACUGACGGUGAGGCGCGAAAGCGUGGGGAGCAAACAGGAGUAGAUACCCUGGUAGUC